CUGGCCCAUUUCCCCUGCUCGACUACUUCCGCUCCAAAUGCCGCCUCUCCACUUUCCCUCCCCAGGCACCGCCGCCGACGCGCCUCUCUGCCUCCGACCUCUCCGAUCUGUUCGCCAUUUUCCCUCCUCCACGAGGCAAAUCUGAUCGGUCGGUCGAAAUGGGCCACGAGGGCACCAAGUACGGUGAGGACGGCUGCCCCAACCAUACAAUCCCCCGUUCUUCGACCUGGAUGACACCCUCUACCCGGUGGCCUCCAGCAUUGGCCUCGACUUCGUGAAGAACAUCCAAGAUUAUAUAUGGUCGAGAAGCUCUGAAUCGACAAAAUAUCAGGUUGGAGCUCUGCAUCCUCCUCUACAAGCAGAGUACGGAACCACCGUGGCCGGUCUGCAGGAAACGUGGACAUGCUAUUCUAGGGAAGGGCGAAACCUUGGACGUGUAAUUGAUUACUUUAUGUAGUUCUAAUUUCUAAUUCAAUAAUUUCUUCCAUAUUAUAAACCAAACGACUUCUAUGUAUACCAUCAAUUGAGUUUCAGAUGAAUGCUAAUGUACCAAUGGGGCACCAACUUGGUUCUAGCAUAAAUACAUGGUUCUGGAGUCCCUAGGCUGGAAACAUUUAGUACUAACCAUUUGCUUUCUUCCCUACAUUUUUCUUUCCCUCUUCUAAAGAUUUUCUGAUUAAGUGCCUGAAAGCAAAUCAAUUUCUAUACAUGCACGAGUUCAGUUUUUCAGUAAUACAUUACUCUCCACAUCCCAUAAUAUAAGAGCGUUUUUUGAGUCUAUGAGCAUCUUAAAUUUUGUUGCAAUAUAUUAUAUAUGUCAGCACCCAAAAUUUAUUUUGCACAUCCUAUAGAUUAUCUUUCUCUAAAUCAUGUGGUCCUUUUUCAGUUAUCAGUAGCAGUAGUACUACACAAAGAUGAUAAAUCUCUACUACCUAAAAGAAACAUAAGGUUCCGUUUCCCCUAUUACGUCGUUCUUUCGUCCGACCCUCGUUGCGUUUCGUUCGCCCUCCCGGCUCCCGCACCCCUGGACGCCUUCCUGUCCCACGUUAGUUUGUUUCCUCUUAGAACCUUUGAUCAAUUCCCCCCUCACUCAUCUCCUGAAUUCACGGGUUGAUUCUAUCUCCUGCUGAUUUGGCUGCCGCGAGAGUCGCCGACACCGUGAUGAGCGCAACCCAUCACCUCUCCUUUCCAUCUCACAAGCAGCAGGGGAGAUUGGCAACCUUCCGAGGUCACGGACGCGGGCGUCCUAGGGAUUGGACGUUGUCGUCCGGAGGAACUUGGCCCAUGGCUUCGAGGGAUCCAGGGCGUCCUAGGGAUUCGUCUUCGAGCACGGAUUGGAGCACGGGAAGGGAGCAGGCAAGUCUUGUCCGGCUUCGAGGAUAGUGUGGGUGAGACCUCCUGGCCUCCCAUGGCCGUCGCCACCGGGUCGUCUCGUUAGGCCCAGACGCUGUCGAUCCGGCCGCUGGCCACGCCCUGAUCAUCUCCUUCCCACUCAGUUCGUCCUCCCCUAGCAUCUUACAUCAAUUCGUCCUCGCAGCGCCACCACCGUCUUCCCCUCAUCCCUAAUGACACGAUGGUCCUGAUCGUUGCGGUUCCCCAAUCCGAGUUUCCCCCAAAAAAAACCUACAUCUUGUUAGCCCCACCUCGCAUCAUCAUUGCAGAAUGGAGGAUGCCAAAGUGGGAGGCAUGGUUACGGCUUUCGGCGACUGAGCCGGUCGGCUGCGGCGGCAGCAAUAGGGAAGAUGCUAUCUGCCAACAUCCUCUCAAGAUCAUGCGUCACUCAAAUGGCAAGCCCAUGGGGCUGUCGUUAAGGGAAUAUAUCUGAAGCAGCGUCCAGAUCUGACAGUUGAUUAGGUGGGUCUUACUAUGUCUGCUACAUCGCUGCAUGAUAUCCAUAUGAGGGAGGAAUCGCUGAAGAAUGGUGAGCCACUCUUUCGUUGCUGGUGUCGAACAUCCAAUUUAUGAGUUAUGAAUUCUCUCUGCAGAGACAAAGAAAGAAAGUCAUUCAGAUGAGUAGUGAAUUCAUUGUAGACAAUUUGGAAGAACAGAUCAGUACACGUUUAGUGAAAUGGCUGUAUGCCUCUGUGCAUACGAUUAAAGGACAUAUUUCUUCUCCAGUCUUAUUUCAUUAUAUGUAUAAUUUUUUAUUCUCAUUUACCUUAUGUCUUUUCAGACCGAACAUUUUUCUUACUCAUACCCAAGACACCAAAUAGAAGGAAGUUGUAGCAGCUUAGAAGUCACAACAUUUGUCAUGUUUAAACUAAAUGCUAGCUAUUUUGAUAUUCUUUUUGGUGGCCAUACCCGAUAUGUUCUUCCAGUAAAAAAAUGGGUAUGCUACUAUCAGAUCCAACCCUUUCUAUGUCAAAAAUAGUAAUUUCAUAUUAUUAUUUGCAGGCUCAGUUUGACCUUCAAUAUGAUUGUUCUAGCUUUCAUUAGGCAAUAGGAACUGUUGUUGCAAAUAGAAACAGCCUGCAAAUGUUUAUUUAGCCUGUAAAUUCAGAAAAGAGAACAAAAAUGCACCUGUUGAUACAAAGUGACUAAGGACUUGGGGAGGACCAUCACUACCAACCAAGGAGGACCACAGGAAAGGUAGAACACUACAGCUUGGUCCAUGUUCCGUUAAGGCAAAUUGCAAGGACAAGAACAUUUGAGGGGUUAUCAACACAUGUAAGUUUUGUUUUUCUCUACAACUUUAGAACAAAAACAAAAAACAAGAGCGAUGAUGAUAUACUAAGAAGGAGAUGGCACACAAUAUUGAUCAGUGUCUUUGUCUUUAUUGCCCCGUGGCAACGCACGGGCAUUGUCCUAGUUAUACCUAAAAACAGAUCAUAGUACACAAAGAUGAUAAAUUAUAUCAAAUUUGACAUGAUUGAACCUUAUAAGCUGGCCUCGAGAACACAACGGUCUAUUCCAUUUGGUUUUCCUGGUCCUCAUAAAUAAAUACUUAUGUUGCUUAUUAGAGUUCCAAGGUAUGCCAAAAAAUUGAGCAGAAAGCAAUGUUUGCUACCGAUUUCUGUAAAUGCCUGUUUCUUUGUAACUUCUUACCCUUGGUAUGUAAUUCCUAGAGAUAAAAAAAUUUAUAAUAGCUCUAGCCAAGUUUAAACUUAGGACAUUAUUUUUGGUUUUCACUAGAGUGGUAGUGAUAUUCAAACUUCGGAUAGCUCUAUGCCAGAAGAAAAAAAAGCAACACAAGAAACAAGCGUGCCAGUCAAGCAUAGAUUGUUAUUGCUCAAACUUAUUGAAUAGUGUAUAGCAGAAAACUUGCUUGCUACCAGUUGAACUACUGUUAUGUUGUAAAAGAGGAUUCAAGUUCUGCCUUUUAUGUACAUAGGUACUCAUGCAAUAAAUUUUGGUCAACUCUUUUCUGAAAUUUGUUUCAGUACUAAAGCAUAACCAAGUAAUGAUAUCUAGCUUGAGCAGCUCCUAAAUGGCGUAUUGAAUUCACUCUGGUUGCUCUUUAAUAAAACAAGUAAACAAAAAGAAACAUAUGAUUAUCACAGGUCUCCACAACUUCUUGUAUGGUAGUAUAAUACUCCUUCCAAAAUAUAAGGCGUGCUUGACUUUGCUUAGUCUUUAAUGCAUAACUUUGACCACUAAUAUAUACAAUAUUAUAUGGAUCUGGCAUGCAUAAAUGAUAUCAUCAUAUUUGUUGUGAAAAAUAAUCUUAUUUUAUAUAUCUUUAUACUAACUUGGUACACAUACUAUAAGUGAAAAUCAUAGUGAAAGUUCUGCGAAAAAACUAAGAAAAGUCAACCGCGCUUUAUAUUUUGGGA